rnacentral:rRNA from 1 species
GUGCCAGCCGCCGCGGUAAUACGUAGGGGGCUAGCGUUGUCCGGAAUCAUUGGGCGUAAAGCGCGCGUAGGCGGCCCGGUAAGUCCGCUGUAAAAGUCCAGGGCUCAACCCUGGAAAGCCGGUGGAUACUGCCGGGCUAGAGUCCGGAAGAGGCGAGUAGAAUUCCUGGUGUAGCGGUGGAAUGCGCAGAUAUCAGGAGGAAUACCCAUAGCGAAGGCAGCUCGCUGGGACGGUACUGACGCUAAGGCGCGAAAGCGUGGGGAGCGAACAGGAUUAGAUACCCGCGUAGUCC